GGGUGAGGUCCGCGGGUCUCCGUGGCUCCGGAGGUAGCAGUGGGCCGUGAGGCAGCAAGAGCGUCCUCUGCGUGAGGGAGACAGGGCUCCUUGUCGGAGUGCCUCCUGGAAGCCGAGGACGCGGCUCCCCCUCCUGGCGUAAAGUUUUUCAUCCCAAUGCUGCCUCCUCCUCUUCCUCCUCCACGGCUCCACCCGGCUCGACGCACACGCGAAUGCGGAAACAUGCCCUCGUCAUUCCCGCCCUCCGACUCGUCCUUCUCCUUGGAGCUCAGACGGGGAGACUCCGGACACAUUUGACCGCCUUGGCUCCCUGCGCAUUUGGCGGCGUUGUGUGCGCCUCCGCUGGGGUACGCCGCGUUCUUCAUCACGGUGGCACCAGGCGCAGAUCUUCUAGUGGUACCUUGAAUGUGAGUGUCCUCAGCUCGACCGCAGGAAGAGAAGGAGUUGGACCCAGCAGCACGUCAGCGCAAGUGGAGGAAUGAUGAACAAGACUCAAGGGUCUCAUUGCGGAUAUGGAGGUGAAGGUUGGGAAGGAUCUAUGAGUUGCUACUGGCAUUCUCGUUGCCAGGUGAGGAAGAAAAGUUCAUCCCUGAUAUACCCGGUGGGUUUGUGGCUGUGUUCUGCCCGUUAAGACUCUUCCUGCACACGGGGCACGUAUCAUGCUAAAGGAAGAGGAAAUAAAAAACAACAUGUAAUGACAUAGACAGCAGAUUUCUGGCGUUAUGCAACUUCAACAAGCUGUUCUGCAAGGGUCUAAUACAACACGCAAGGGUACGUGAGGGGAAUGGACUUACCAACCACUUAGGUACACCUGCACAAUCUAUUAUAAGCCGUUGCAAAAACUCUGCCAUCACAAAGACAUAGGUGUUCAAUUACAAUUAUGAUUAUUAUUGCGGUCCAGCAACUACACUGCAUCAUACUGGUUUCAGUCUACAGUUCUGCCUAAUGAAGUGUUCAAUGAGUGUGUGUGAUGCACGUACCUGUUCCAGCCAUGGCACUAUACAGUCAUUGUGAAACAAAUGAUUGCAUGGCAGCUGUCGAACACGUUCUCCGGCGCUGUAGUCUUCUUUGCACACAGGACACUCUAAACCGGCGCCUGCACAAGCAAAACACGCACAAAACGCUUUAAAGUCAAUCUAAACCGGGGCACAGCAUUAGAAACAUAACUUCAGAAAUGUGAGUUGUAAUUACAGGCCACAAAUUUAACUUUUUAUGAUCAAGGCAAGUGUUGCCUUAAAGGAGGGCUCGUAUUUUAGGGCACCAAGGCAAAAAUAAUUUUUCAAAUCAAAAUAAAACAAAGCAGUUUGGAAAAUGAAGAUAAAGUCUAAUAAACAAGCUUUGUUCUUCUCCAACAACGCCUCCCU